GACGAACGCUGGCGGCGUGCCUAAUACAUGCCAGUAGAACGCACAGUUUAUACCGUAGCUUGCUACACCAUAGACUGUGAGUUGCGAACGGGUGAGUAACGCGUAGGUAACCUGCCUGGUAGCGGGGGAUAACUAUUGGAAACGAUAGCUAAUACCGCAUAAUAUUAAUUAUUGCAUGAUAAUUAAUUGAAAGGUGCAAUUGCACCACUACCAGAUGGACCUGCGUUGUAUUAGCUAGUAGGUGAGGUAACGGCUCACCUAGGCGACGAUACAUAGCCGACCUGAGAGGGGGAUCGGCCACACUGGGACUGAGACACGGCCCAGACUCCUACGGGAGGCAGCAGUAGGGAAUCUUCGGCAAUGGACGAAAGUCUGACCGAGCAACGCCGCGUGAGUGAAGAAGGUUUUCGGAUCGUAAAGCUCUGUUGUAAGAGAAGAACGGGUGUGAGAGUGGAAAGUUCACACUGUGACGGUAUCUUACCAGAAAGGGACGGCUAACUACGUG
rnacentral:rRNA from 1 species